CCAGGUUUACUUCUGGGUGGUUUAAGUUGUUGCGUUUAACGCUCGUAGUUGGAUCACGCAGCGCCGGUGAGUAAUCUUUUGCGACGGGAUGGUGAAUGAGCCCGUUUUGCGACGCCAUGAAUCAAACUAAGCAAAAGGUAAAAAUGCUGAUCAUCGCUAGUUGCACGUGAGAUAGAUUGUUGGCCUUUGAUGUGCCGAUAUUCUGGUCUUGCGGAGGGUGCCUCGAAUAAAACAGAGUGCUUAAAGCAGGUCGUUGCCUGAAUGUUAUAGCAUGGAACGAACAAUCGUGUUUAUGUGUACGCCUACUGAUGGUAGCGAGCCUUUGGUUUGUUGUUAUUGGCGACGUGCACGUCACCCACCAAAAUAUGGCUGUUGGCUCCAUAUACGGUGAUGAUUAACAGGAGCGGUUGGGGGCAUCGGAAUUUGGACGCGAGAGGUGAAAUUCUUAGACAGGCAAGGACUACCAAAUGCUCAGGACUUGUCUAGACCGUUUCCAUUAAUCAAGAACGAAAAUGGGAGGUCGAAGACGAUCAGAUACCGUCCUAGUUCCCAUCGUAAACUAUGCUGAAUGGAGAUCAGUGCAGAGAUGUUACACGCUCUGGGUCCGCCCGCUGGUCACCUGAUGUUUUUCGGCUACGGGGAACGUAUGGUCGCUAUGCUGAAGACUUAUAGGUAUUGACAGCACGAUCGCUACCAGGGCUGAGAGUCUGCUGCUUCAUGUUGACUCAACACGAGGCACCUGUACCUGGCCCGGACGUCGAUCGUAUUAACAUAUCAAUAGCUCUCAUCAUGAUACGAAGAGUGGCGCUGCAUGCCCAAUCUUUGGUCGUUGCAGUGAUCUGUCAGUCUAAUCGUGUAACAACGAGACUCAGUCUCGAUUGAAGAGAUAGAAGAGGACAUGUGCAGCUUGUUGAGUCGUACUGCAUGCUACUCAUCAGCUGUGUUAGCAGAACGAUGAGCAUCAUGCUGUUCAUGUUGUAGGCCAGUGCUCUCAAUGUGU
rnacentral:rRNA from 1 species